rnacentral:rRNA from 1 species
AGAGUUUGAUCCUGGCUCAGGAUGAACGCUGGCGGCGUGCUUUACCAAUGUGAGUCGAACGGUACGGGUUGAGCUUCGGCUUGGCCACGACCGUGGCGUCCGGGUGCGUAACACGUAGCUAACCUACCGGCGGGUGGGGAAUAACUCCGGGAAACCGGAGACAAUACCGCAUAUGGUCGCGGGGUAAUGCCCGUGGACAAAAGCUGUGUCGAGGGAACUCGAUAUGGCGCCUGCUGAGGGGGCUGCGGCCGAUUAGCUAGUUGGUGGGGUAAUGGCUCACCAAGGCGAUGAUCGGUAGCGGGUCUGAGAGGAUGAUCCGCCACACGGGGACUGAGACAUGGUCCCGAGCCCUACGGGGUUUAGCAUGGAGGAAUCUUGCGCAAUGGGCGAAAGCCUGACGCAGCGACGCCGCGUGGGGGACGAAGGCCUUCGGGUCGUAAACCCCUUUUCUGGGGGACGCAACUGACGGUACCCCAGGAAUAAGCCUCGGCUAACUACGUGCCAGCAGCCGCGGCAAUACGUAGGAGGCGAGCGUUAUCCGGAAUUACUGGGCGUAGAGCGCUCGUAGGCGGCUCGAUAGGUGCUCUGUGAAAGCCCCCGGCUCACCCGGGGAGGGUCGGAGCAAACCAUCGAGCUCGAGGCAGGCAGAGGGCCGCGGAACGUCCGGGGGAGUGGUGGAAUGCGUAGAUCCCGGACGGAACACCAGAGGCGAAGGCGGCGGUCUGGGUCUGUCCUGACGCUGAGGAGCGACAGCGUG